UUUAGGAGCCCCAGUUUCUCUGUUAUUGGGGCAGGAAGAAUAAACUGCUGUUAUCCUGAUUAUGUGAAUCAAGGACAGUGGAACUGUACUUGGCAUUUUGUUAUGAUGGAGGGACUCGUCAUCAACUAAGCAGUACUUGCUAGGCAAGGGUCAUAGGUUACAAA